rnacentral:rRNA from 1 species
CAGUCGCCGCGGUAACACGGAGGGCGCGAGCGUUACCCGGAUUUACUGGGCGUAAAGGGCGUGUAGGCGGCCUGGGGCGUCCCAUGUGAAAGGCCACGGCUCAACCGUGGAGGAGCGUGGGAUACGCUCAGGCUAGAGGGUGGGAGAGGGUGGUGGAAUUCCCGGAGUAGCGGUGAAAUGCGCAGAUACCGGGAGGAACGCCGAUGGCGAAGGCAGCCACCUGGUCCACUUCUGACGCUGAGGCGCGAAAGCGUGGGGAGCAAACCGGAUUAGAUACCCCCGUAGUCCCUGUCUCUUAUAC